rnacentral:rRNA from 1 species
UUUAUGGAGAGUUUGAUCCUGGCUCAGGACGAACGCUGGCGGCGUGCCUAAUACAUGCAAGUCGAGCGGACCGACGGGAGCUUGCUCCCUUAGGUCAGCGGCGGACGGGUGAGUAACACGUGGGUA